rnacentral:sRNA from 1 species
AUAAAAUAUGAAUUAAACUAAUACCAAAUAAACUUAUAAGAAGCAAUAUAAAUUUAAUUACUUUUAAACCAACAAACUUCUUUUACUAGAAUAUUGUAAAGUAAAGAUGUAGUAGUAAAUUAGAAAGUUAAAAUAAAUAUUUGAAACCAAUAGAUUGAUGGGAGAUUAGCAAAACUGCCCUUAUUCUAAUAACCUUUUGAAAAACUGCCCUUUCCUGAAGGCCAUUUUUCAAACUACCCCUUCUACUAUGGCAAAUGACGGUCUUACCCUUACUGAAUAAUUAGGUUUCACAUUCAUUUUGACAAACUUCUUCGUUUUCGCCAUCGAAUUUUUCUCUCCGAUACAACUCACAUUCGUCGUCGAAUUUUUCUCUCCGAUAAACCUCAAAUUCGCCGACGAAUUGUUCUCUCCGAGAAACCUCAAAUUUGCCGACAAAUAGAUCUCUCCGACAAACCUCUUCUUCGCCGAUGAAUAGAUCUCUCCGAUAAACCUGUUCUUCGCUGACGAAUUCAGAUCAUUUCUCUCUGACGCAAACAAUCCCUAGAGAUAACGAUAGAUCCGACGGUAACCGUUUUUAUAGUCGAUUUU